UACGGAGGGUGCAAGCGUUAAUCGGAAUUACUGGGCGUAAAGCGUGCGCAGGCGGUUUGUUAAGUCUGUUGUGAAAUCCCCGAACUCAACUUGGGAAUUGCAAUGGAUACUGGCAGGCUGGAGUAUGGUAGAGGAAGGUGGAAUUCCCGGUGUAGCAGUGAAAUGCGUAGAGAUCGGGAGGAACACCAGUGGCGAAGGCGGCCUUCUGGACCAAUACUGACGCUCAUGCACGAAAGCGUGGGGAGCAAACAGG
rnacentral:rRNA from 1 species